CCAAAGUUAUCCUAGUAUUAUAUAAUCAUGAACUUUCAGUCUGAGUGCGAUGACGAUUUCUUUAAUUAAAAAACGAGAAAUAAGUUGUUUUUUUUAAAGAGAUUGCAUCAAUGAGCUGGCUGAUGCCUCUUAUGAAUAUGCAUCGCGUGGUUAGAUGUGGCUCUCAAGAAAGAUAAUUGAUUACACAGGAAGGCAACAUGGUGAGAAGAGUUCCAGAGCUGCUAAAGGCUCCGGAGCCUUUCUCUUGGCUAAGUUGUGGUUUGUUUAAAGCACAUCCCAAACCUAGAGAGGAUACGGCUCGAGCGAAUCAGCGCUUUUCGUCUGCUUUUCCUGCCCUGAAUGGAAUUGAAAGGGUGCACUAAACGGUUAGACUCUGACUGGCCAGCUGAAUCUGCUAUGUGUUAAAAAAUCUAUAAAAAUAUAAACGCAAUAAUAAAUGAAAUCCCUUUUAAAUGUCAGCAUUGGUAUUAUUUUAUUAUUAACUGGGAUAGUGUGACAGUCUACGCCGAUCUCAUAAAAUAAACUUUAAAAAAUUAGUUUGAAAUAAAUAAUGCAAAAUCUUCCUUCCUUAGACUUUCAGAACUUAACAACAAUUUGGAGGAAAUUGAAUAGGUUAAUAAAAUAUAUUUUCAUUCGCGUGUGUGUUUUCUUUCUUCAUAUUUAACUAAAAAAAAUCUGUUUACAUUUAAAAUCAACAUCGUAACAAACUAAAACAAACAACGGAAAAACAAGCAAAAAAAUAAAUAACUACAAACAAACAGACAACAAAAAAAAAACAAAUGGAAUUUGUUAUAAACCGCAUCUCACAUAUCGCGAAAUACUUAAAUUGAGGCUAUGGCAGUCGUAAAAGGUUAAAAAAACAAACAAACAAUCAAAAUCAAAUUAAAAAAAGGAAGAAUUUGAUCUAUAUACCAUCCGUAACUGUUUUCUUUAUUGCACUUUAAAUAUAUGGCUCGUGCACGAAAAGGUGCUGUUUGCCACCUCAAAUGGAAAUGCCCCUUUUUGUUUCAUUAAAUAAUUUGGAACGUUUAGGGCAAAAAUAGAAUUUUUACAUAAAAGGUCACACACGCACGUUAAAAUAUUAAAAACAAAUGCAGCGCACUCUGAGGAACUGCUGCAAAUGGACGUUCUAAAAAUAAUACAAAGACUUCAAAACGGGUCUGAAAGGUAUUUUCUUGUGACAGGAUUAUAACUGAAAAAUGUUGCUAUCGAAUUUUAAAUCGAACUGAUGGAUUAAUUAGAAAUUGAUAUAAAAAAAAAAGGUUAGCAGUUUAG
ensembl:lncRNA